rnacentral:rRNA from 1 species
UACAGAGGGUGCAAGCGUUAAUCGGAAUUACUGGGCGUAAAGCGUGCGUAGACGGUUACAUAAGUCGGGUGUGAAGCCCGGGCUCAACCUGGGAAUGCAUUCGAGACUGCGUAGCUAGGUGCGGAAGAGGAAGCGGAAUCUCCGGUGUAGCGGUGAAAUGCGUAGAUAUCGGAAGGAACACCAGUGGCGAAAGCGGCUUCCUGGUCCAGCACCGACGUU